rnacentral:lncRNA from 13 species
AAGAAUACGUUGGUUUACAUUAUGUAAAUAACUUUGGGGUGUCUUUCUUUUUAUGUUACAGAUAUUUGAAGUGUGGGGGUAAGACUUGAAAUAAUUUCCCUUAAGGUCUUUCCAGCUGUCCUAGGUACUGCAAUUAAACAAGAUACUGUGGUGAACUAAGCUUCUCUUUCAAGUGCUGCCACUCUUCUUUCAAACGCACAUUCCUUUCUUCAAUUAGCUCAGCUACUCUGAUUGAACCAAAUAUGGCUGAUGAAUUCAAUUCUCGUCUUCAAGCCAGAUAUCAACCCAAAUGCCCAUCGAUGAUAGACUGGACAGGGAAAAUGUGGCACAUAUACACCAUGGAAUAUUAUGCAGCAAUCAAAAACGAUGAAUUCAUGUCCUUUGUAGGAUGAACCUGGAGAACAUCAUUCUCGGCAAACUGACACAAGAACAGAAAACGAAAUACCGCAUGUUCUCACUCAUAGGCGGGUGUUGAACAAUGAGAACACAUGGACGCAGGGAGGGGAGCACUACACACUG